UCUUGAUGAAACAUAGACAAUAAAAAUUGCUCGGUGACUUUUUCUAACCUUUCUAACCUGUAUUUUACUCCCCAAGACCACGAUCCACUUUGCAUUCUUAGACAAUAAGCUAGGAGGGUUCAAAGUGUGCCACUCAUGGCGAAGGACGGCUUCCCCCUAAACUAAACAGCUACAUUUGGCAAAUGUUGAUGAAGACAUAAAGAGGCUAUGACUCCUUUCUUGACUAAAGGAGGAGGAUGCUUCAGUGAAAUAUUCCCAAUGAUGAUAUCCUAAGGUCCUAGUGCAUGGAUGACAGAUGAAUUUCUUUAAAGAUAAAGGGAAUAUCGUAAAGUUGCUUCCAGCUCUGACAUAAUACGAGAGAAAGUUACAGGCAGUUUUAGAAACAAAAUGUAAUGCUCACUCUGUAUCACGAUUCCAAGUGAGAGAAGAGGGUGCAGAAGUAUCUCCAAUUGCUUCGCUUUGCCCGUAAUCU
rnacentral:lncRNA from 12 species